CAUAUGCUCAUAUCAAUUUCAAACUCCACAUAUUGAAACGCAUGACACUCAAGAUGAAGUUUAAGGGUUGUAACGGGGCUUGGGGUGAUGGCUAACAAAUGAAGGAUAAGGAUAACAAUCGUUCUUAAAGCAAUAGCAAGUAAAGUAAUGAAAUUGAAACUUAGAAUUCACUUAGAUUGCAGAAAUCAGCUUUUAGACACGAAGGGAAAAUUCAAGCAAUAUUUAGGACCGAAUUCUAUGUUUUGGACCCUUUCUUCAACAAGCAGCACUUUAAAACUCUUUUUCGCAUAUUUUUCAACUCCUUUUUUUUUUUUUUUUUUUUUUUCAACUCUUCUUUUCUUUUCAACAAGCAUAAUAACUCACACUUCCCCCACACUUGUUUUCUGCCAUACAUUAAUAAAAAGAAAUUCAAUUUGAAUCAUGCUUUACUAUGCUUCAAGAACAAGGGUAUGGAUGGUCCUAAACUAGGCUAG
rnacentral:lncRNA from 1 species